AGCGGUAGACAGGGAGCUUGCUCCUGGGUGACGAGCGGCGGACGGGUGAGUAAUGUCUGGGAAACUGCCCGAUGGAGGGGGAUAACUACUGGAAACGGUAGCUAAUACCGCAUAACGUCUUCGGACCAAAGUGGGGGACCUUCGGGCCUCACACCAUCGGAUGUGCCCAGAUGGGAUUAGCUAGUAGGUGGGGUAAUGGCUCACCUAGGCGACGAUCCCUAGCUGGUCUGAGAGGAUGACCAGCCACACUGGAACUGAGACACGGUCCAGACUCCUACGGGAGGCAGCAGUGGGGAAUAUUGCACAAUGGGCGCAAGCCUGAUGCAGCCAUGCCGCGUGUGUGAAGAAGGCCUUCGGGUUGUAAAGCACUUUCAGCGAGGAGGAAGGGUGGUGUGUUAAUAGCGCACCACAUUGACGUUACUCGCAGAAGAAGCACCGGCUAACUCCGUGCCAGCAGCCGCGGUAAUACGGAGGGUGCAAGCGUUAAUCGGAAUUACUGGGCGUAAAGCGCACGCAGGCGGUUUGUUAAGUCAGAUGUGAAAUCCCCGCGCUUAACGUGGGAACUGCAUUUGAAACUGGCAAGCUAGAGUCUUGUAGAGGGGGGUAGAAUUCCAGGUGUAGCGGUGAAAUGCGUAGAGAUCUGGAGGAAUACCGGUGGCGAAGGCGGCCCCCUGGAC
rnacentral:rRNA from 1 species